rnacentral:lncRNA from 1 species
AAUAACAUUAACCUAAAUUUUGUUGUUUGUUUUUUCUGGUUGUUUUAUUUAAAUUUAUUUUAAAUUUUGCUUUAACGUAAAUUAAUUAAAUCGUUUUUAAAAUCAAUAAUCAUUUACCGCCAAUUAUAUUACUGAGAAACUGGUAGGAUAUAUUUAUGUAGAAAACCAUUGCAGAUGCCCUCUUAGAAAGUUAAUACUCAAUAAUUGGACCCCAAAAAAUAAGGGUGGAACACAGAUGCUGUUGUUCGAAUUUCAAUCAGAGCUAAACCCAGAAUGAAACCAGGGACCUGAAAGGAUAUAAUUAUAUAGAAAGCUAAUGAAGAUGAGUUCACAUCAACUGUGAUACCAAAUAAUAAUUGGAUCCCAAGUACUAAUGAGUUGGAUAGUCAGUGUCCCAAUUUAGAUCAAAUAAAUCUACAAGAGAAAAAAGGUGAUUCUACCAACAAAUGGAAAAUAGGUUUAAGAAUUUUGAUUACCUAGAGUCUUGAGCUGGUUAAUUUUAACGCAUUUAAAAAAGCACAUUUUCCCGAAAAACAUUCGAAACAUAGUAACAGCAUUAUAAAAAAACUAAGUACAUUGGCACAAAAAAAUAAUACCAGUGACUUACUAAUAUUUUCAAAAACAACUUCUUUGGAUAAAGUAUAUUCAGAGGUAGUGAAAUUAUCCGAGUUAGUACCGACGAUUCCAGCUACUAGUGCCUCUGUAGAAUGUAGUUUUUCAAUGAAAAACCGAGUCAAGACUUACUUGCAAAACUUGACAGGAUAAGAUUGUCUAAUGUUUCCCUUUUAGCAAUUAAAAAUAGUCUGGUUAAAGAAAUGUCGUGAUAUUCAUGAUUCAUGUAUGUUAUAGACGAGUUUGCCAAAAAUGGUAGAAGAACUGAAUUACAUUAUAAAUACCUAGUGCCAACUCCACUAAUGAAGGUUGGCUAUUGUUGGAACAUCUCAAGAAACCGUGUGCAGCAAAAUUAAUAACUUGCGAUGUGCUUUUCAUAAGGAAUCGAAAAGGGUAAACAAAUCUAAAAGAAGCGGUGCAUAUACUGAUAAUGAAGAAGAAGAUAUUAUAGUCCUGGAUUGUGGUAUUAUGAACUUUUGUUGUCUAUCGCUAAUCAAGAAGAUACUCGUGAGACCGUGUCUUCAAUUAACAGUAGUGAAGAUGAGGUAGAAGAAAUUACAAAUGAAAAUGUUUUUGGCUACAGGAGAAUCUUUUAGAUCGUUGGCGUUGCAGGGAUUUUCCAAACUGUGUUGGAGCAAUUGAUGUUAAACACAUUCGGAUAAGGAAUCCAAAAAAUAGUGGUUCCAGAUAAUAAAUUUGUAGUAGAUGUAGAUGCCAAAUGUAGUAAAUUCCAAAGUAGUAGAUGCAGAUAAUAAAUUUGUUGCAGUAUACAUAGGAUCGUACGGGAGGGAAAGAGAUGCAGGUCAGUAAUGAGACGAUUAAUGUUGAAUCUGUUACUAGCCCAGAAUCGAUUUCGGAACAUGCUUCUACUCCCAGUGUUAUCUGGCACUUCAUCUAGAAUAUCUAAGUAUUCAAAAUCUACACGCAAAGGGGAAAAACAAAACGAGACGACAUUCUUGAUGAGGCAUGUAAAACAUUGACCAAACCUGACGACGAAUGUACACUAGUGGCUAAAAUUCUGGAAACAUUGUAGUUUUGUUAGCAGCAUUCAUCUCGAUAAAACUUGUUGCAUUCGAUUCGUAAAUGCC